AGGAUUACAAGUUGAUUUCUUAGAUUUGGGUCCAUUUCUUGGUUCUUCUCUGUGUAGGUUUUGCUGGAACCCUCUCGGAGCAUGGCAGCUACAGUCCAAAAAAAAUAGGGAAAACUUGUUAGGCCUCUGAAGGAUGAAGCCAGCACAAGGGAGUUUUGCUCUUCUCUGUAGGACUAAGCAGCUGAAGGUCUAGCUCAACGUCAAGCAGCUGUCAUCAAUCCAUUACUAUGUGGUAGCUUCUUUUCCUCCAAAGAAGAAAGGUUAAGGUCAUAAGGUCAUGAGGUCUAGGCUUAAAGUCAUGAGUUAGACUUUGGGCACUGCUGGAUCAGGCCUGUAAUUCUAGUAAUCAGAAGGCUGAGAUUUGAGGUUCAAAGCUAGCUGGACAGAUGGAUAAACCCAAUUAACUCUUACCUCCAGUUAACCAGCAAGUAGCUGGAAAUGGAUGUGUGGCUCAGGUGGUAGAGUGCCAGCUGUGAGUGAAAAGUCUAAGCAAGAACACAAGCCUGGGUACAGGUGACUCACACCUGUAAUCCUGGCUCCUCAGGAGGCUAAGAUCUGAGGAUCAUGAUUCAAAGCAAGCUCAGGAAGAAAAGUCCAUGAGAUACCUCUCUCCAAUUAACCACCAAA